rnacentral:miRNA from 1 species
GGAAACAGAUCCUCCUCAAGCUUUCCCUCAAAGGCUUCUAGCACCCAUUGAUUUUGAUAGCAUUUGGAAGUGACUUUUGUUGGUUAUUAUUACCUUUUAAGGUUGUGUGGAGGGUCUCUUGUGGCACAG